AUAUAACUAAGCGGUGGAAAAGAAACCAAAAGGGAUUCCGAUAGUAACGGCGAGCGAACUCGGAACAGCUCAGCGCCAAGUCCCGUCGUCAGCAGGCGUACGGGAGAUGCGGGCGUGAAUGUAGCAGUGCAUCGUGCUUUGCCUGUGUAACGCAAGUUCCUCUGACAAGGACUUUUUCCAUAGCGGGUGCUAGGCCCAUAGCGGUUACAAGGCUAUUGCGCGCAUACUGUUGCAUGCUAGAGUCAGGUUGUUGGAAA
rnacentral:rRNA from 1 species